rnacentral:rRNA from 1 species
UACGUAGGGUGCAAGCGUUAAUCGGAAUUACUGGGCGUAAAGCGUGCGCAGGCGGUUAUGCAAGACAGAUGUGAAAUCCCCGGGCUCAACCUGGGAAUUGCAUUUGUGACUGUAUGGCUAGAGUGUGUCAGAGGGGGGUAGAAUUCCACGUGUAGCAGUGAAAUGCGUAGAUAUGUGGAGGAAUACCGAUGGCGAAGGCAGCCCCCUGGGAUAACACUGACGCUCAUGCACGAAAGCGUGGGGAGCAAACAGG